AUCUUGGAUCUACCUCAAAUCCACCUCGGAACCAUCUCAAAUCUAUCAUAAAGUCACAUUGGAUCAACCUCGAAGUCAUCUCGGAUCCACCUCCGAAACAUGAUAUUUUCAUCUUAAAAACACCUAAAACAUUCCUACACAGGUAUGACUGAUCAAGACAUCAUCAACAUUUUUCCCUUGUUAUGUUAUUGUUCCUCCACUUAUUCAUCAUUAUCAGCUCUGCAUCAGGAAAACUUCGUGUUCAAAGAAUCUCCGUAAAUAUGUUGAUGGGCUAUCUCCAUUGAGAUAGCGUCGUUAAAAUACAACGCAGUAAAUAUGUUGAUGGGCUAUCUCCAUUGAGAUAGCAUCGUUAAAAUACAUUGCUACUCUCUUUCACGGGAUCGUGACUGACCCUUUCAUCUCCUGACUCGUGGCUGGAAUACAAUGCUACUCUCGUUCGCAGCAGCGGACUUGCUUUCUUUCUUUCCAUCGUCACCGGAUCUUGAUCCCCCUGUUUGUUGCUACUUUGCUGGCCAGGCACGAAACAACAGCUGGAAGAUUUUGCCUGCCAGCCACAUCAGGCCUACACCCUUGGAAGCAUCAUAAGAUCCCUUCUCUGAGAGCGAUGAUGGUUGGUCCGUAACGUGUGCUCAACCCCUGGAAGCAUCAUAAGAUCCCUUCUCUAGGAGCGAUGAUGGUUGGUCCGUAACGUGUGCUCCAUAAGGAGCCCACGAGUUGCCGCUCCUCCUCGGCAGCUCCGAGAUCUUCAGCCACUGAUACCCUCGAUACGUCGCUGAAAGACUUCCUUCAGUUUGUUUUCUUUGGCUACAACAGUGCUACCACCGGACUGUCACGGACAAACUUCUAAACAAGAUGUUUGAUGUAAUGCUUAUGUAUGUCCGUGUCUUUUGGCAUGUUCAUACCUUGUACAGCAUGUAGAG
rnacentral:lncRNA from 1 species